rnacentral:rRNA from 1 species
UACGGGGGGGGCAAGCGUUGUUCGGAAUUACUGGGCGUAAAGGGCUCGUAGGUGGCCAACUAAGUCAGACGUGAAAUCCCUCGGCUUAACCGGGGAACUGCGUCUGAUACUGGAUGGCUUGAGUUUGGGAGAGGGACGCGGAAUUCCAGGUGUAGCGGUGAAAUGCGCAGAUAUCAGGAAGAACACCCGUGGCUAAGGCGGCUCUCUAGUACGGUACUGACGCUGAGACGCGAAAGCGUGGGGAGCGAACAGG